GCGCAAGUGGCGCGCAGCCUAUUUGUGUCUUGGUAUAUCUUCGAAACCCUCGAUGGGUUAGCGGCUGACUGAUUCGCUACGCUUCCUCCAGUUAAGUCCCCGUGCAGUGUAGUGCAACAAAAAAAUCUACACGUCAGUGAUUAUGAUUUCCAUCCCUGACGCACUGUUGGCAAUACUCGCUUUCCUUUGCCUGAGAUGUGCGUUAUGCAGUGGCUACAUGGCACUGGAAGCGGUCAAAAUCGAGAACGGUAAGUGUACGUACAAAGGGAAAACAAUUGAAGUGGAUCAAUCCAUAAGCCUAGAGAAUCCUUGUGAAAGAUGGAGAUGCGAUGGAGCGUCUAAAGCUGUGGCAAUUUCUGGGUGUCCGAAGACACAAGUUGGACGGGCUUGCAAACUGAUGGACGGUCAAGGACCGUUUCCCAACUGCUGCCCUAAGAUGGCGUGCUUUAGGCGCUAGUCUGCCGGUGUCAUUUGAUAUUGGUUACCGAUCUGCGGUGGCGAGCGAAGGUGCAUCAAUACGAAGCAUCCCACAUGGACACCGCAUGAAUGAAUAAACUGAACUAAAAAAAAACGA